UUUGCACAGUAAUGUAUGUAUAAAGUACGUAUAAUUAGAUUAAGUAUAUUUAAAUAAGCGAUUGCUCCCUCGUGAUCUUUUUGUAAACUGCCAUUUUCAUGUGAAAAUUAAGGGCACUGACUCUGAGGUGAUCACAAAUUUGUGUACUGUUUUUGGAGCUAAAUGCUAUAGCCCCGCUAAAAAAAGCAUAGCGUGCUUCUUGUGUACAUUUCGGAGAACCAGGACAAAUAUUUCAAUCAAUCGCCCAGACAUUUAAGAGUCAUUUAAGAGAAAUCUGCGUUCUUAUUCGGUUCGGUGGAUACCGGUUCCAUUGGUACUAUAUUAGCACCGGGUUUCAGUACCCAACCCUAGUAAGGAGAAUGUUUACUGGCAUAGGUUAAAAAAAGCUUCACACAAAGACCUCUGUGACUGCAUUUAAAUAGUAAACCAGUUCUAAAUGAUUGGUUUUGGUGCAGACUUUGUUACAUGCAUCUAAAUAGCAAGAGCAAUUGUCCAAUGUAAUUUUUUUUUUUGGCAUCCAAUUUGGUACAUUUCUCCUCUUGCAGAUUUUAUCAUUGAUAUCCACUGUAACCAUAGGUGGAGGGUGAACCAACUUCAGGGUAAGGCUAAAAGCAGCAAUGUAUUAAACAUCAUAAACCCAUCUUUUAAGGCAAGAAUCAGACAUUGGUGUCAUGUAGGCUAAUAAAAUAUUCAGAAUUCAGAACGAACGUGCACUCAACAAAACUGAUGUGUUUUCAGCGAUUACUCAUCUGAACGCCUCUGAUUGGCCACUGCAUUCCUAAGCUCAACCGAAUUGUGUGUGAUUGCUUAAAAUGCGCAACACUGUAAAUUGUAAAAAGAAAACUGUGUAACAUGAGCAGAUUUUAAUUUAAUGUCACAAUCAACACUAUUUGUUUUCACUUUUUUAGUAUCAAAUUUAAUAGAUUCAAUUUCUUUGUGCAGAAAGUUUUUUUUUUUUCAAUUUAGGGGCAUUUUUGCCCAAAUCCCCAUGGCCAGGAGAAGGCUAAGCCUUCCCAAGCCUUACACACACUCUGCCUAUGAAAUUGCUUUAUAGCUGUGCAUAUCUACACUAACUACUUCUAGAGAUAUGAGAUGU